AAAUCUUGCCUUCUGUUUAACAAUCAUUAUAUAUUAAUUCGAUCAUUCUAUUUAGGCAUGAAUUUAUUCUAGUGAAUAUGUACCAGUAUGUGAACGUAUUCAAAUGAAUGUUAAAAUGGCUGUGAUUUUGAUUUCUGUAAAUAGUUUUAUCAUUCAUAAUAUUAUAUCUCAUGAGAAAUUCUUUUUUGAGUAUGUGUGUUUUUUGUUGACAUAUGUUUUGUUAUAAACGAAAGAGAAGUUUGAUUGGAUGAACAAAUGGUUGAUAUUGUGAUUGUUGGAUUUUACACGUUAUUUACUGAUUACAGAAAAAGAAAUGAUAAAAACAUCAUCUGAAUGUACAUGAUUUUGUAUUUUGAUUGUAUGCAUCAUUGUUUGAAAUAAAGCAGGUAUGUACCAGU
rnacentral:misc_RNA from 1 species